rnacentral:ribozyme from 1 species
CGUGUAGCAACUCCUAUCCCUACCUCCUCGUGGUAUCGGCCGGAAACUAUGAGCAACCUUAGGGAAGAUCGGGUAACCAACCCCGGUCAAGGGCUGAAAGUCUCUCAAAUAAAGACAAAUCUAUCAACCAACCCCGUUGGGAACAUUGGUCGUAGGCUGACAGGGAAGG